CUUCAAGCUACUAGUCCGCCAACAUGAUAGUACACACGUCCUGCAAGAUACCUCAAAAAUGGCGCCCUUCGCUGCCGCAUUGGGCAUCAGCUUACCCGACGCAUGAGCGCAAUCCAGAAAACCAGCGGACAACGCCAGACCACAAAGGACGCCACUCUGGGAAAAACUUCGGACACCCCGGAACCGACCACCCAAGCGCCAGCAGCAGACAUCGGUGCAGACUCGCGACCGGGACACCUGAAUGGCAUGGAACAAGUCCACCAUGGACUCAACCACUCACAGGCAGAGACUUAAAGGGACUUCCAAACUUUUUGACCUACUUCUGAGUGCGGGAACGCACACCACCAUAUCCUUUUACACUGAGUUUUAUGGCGCUACUUUAGCCAUGGUUUACUAAGGUCUAAGGGGACACAAAAUAGUUACGGGGACGACACUAUAGGGCACUGAAAAGGGCCUAAAGCAGGGGGAAGGGGGGGGGAAGGAAAGGCACUAGAGCAGCUGGGGACGAAAGGGGGGAAAGGAAAGGAGAGGAGGAAAACACGGGAUGGGAAGGAUGGGGGGGGGGCAAGGGGGAGGUACGUACCAUUGGCGAAUCUCACUAAAUGAGACAGGAAGCCCUGGUGGCUCCCCCGGGAAUCGCCAAACUCAACGCAGCUAUGUAGGACCACCAGCACACACCCACUAGACCCGAUAGGGAAGGCCCAGAGCGAACCCACCCCGGGGCACUGAUUACAGCCCGCCUAUGCCCAGAGCGGGAAGCACACGGAGACC